rnacentral:rRNA from 1 species
UGGGGAAUAUUGCACAAUGGGCGCAAGCCUGAUGCAGCCAUGCCGCGUGUGUGAAGAAGGCCUUCGGGUUGUAAAGCACUUUCAGCGAGGAGGAAGGUGGUGAGCUUAAUACGCUCAUCAAUUGACGUUACUCGCAGAAGAAGCACCGGCUAACUCCGUGCCAGCAGCCGCGGUAAUACGGAGGGUGCAAGCGUUAAUCGGAAUUACUGGGCGUAAAGCGCACGCAGGCGGUUUGUUAAGUCAGAUGUGAAAUCCCCGGGCUCAACCUGGGAACUGCAUUUGAAACUGGCAAGCUAGAGUCUCGUAGAGGGGGGUAGAAUUCCAGGUGUAGCGGUGAAAUGCGUAGAGAUCUGGAGGAAUACCGGUGGCGAAGGCGGCCCCCUGGACGAAGACUGACGCUCAGGUGCGAAAGCGUGGGGCAGCAAACAGGAUUAGAUACCCUGGUAGUCCACGCUGUAAACGAUGUCGAUUUUGGAGGUUGUGCCCCUUGAGGCGUGGCUUCCGGAGCUAACGCGUUAAAUCGACCGCCUGGGGAGUACGGCCGCAAGGUUAAAACUUAAAGGAAUUGACGGGGUC